rnacentral:rRNA from 1 species
GAUGAACGCUGGCGGCGUGCCUAAUACAUGCAAGUCGAGCGAACGGACGAGAAGCUUGCUUCUCUGAUGUUAGCGGCGGACGGGUGAGUAACACGUGGAUAACCUACCUAUAAGACUGGGAUAACUUCGGGAAACCGGAGCUAAUACCGGAUAAUAUUUUGAACCGCAUGGUUCAAAAGUGAAAGACGGUCUUGCUGUCACUUAUAGAUGGAUCCGCGCUGCAUUAGCUAGUUGGUAAGGUAACGGCUUACCAAGGCAACGAUGCAUAGCCGACCUGAGAGGGUGAUCGGCCACACUGGAACUGAGACACGGUCCAGACUCCUACGGGAGGCAGCAGUAGGGAAUCUUCCGCAAUGGGCGAAAGCCUGACGGAGCAACGCCGCGUGAGUGAUGAAGGUCUUCGGAUCGUAAAACUCUGUUAUUAGGGAAGAACAUAUGUGUAAGUAACUGUGCACAUCUUGACGGUACCUAAUCAGAAAGCCACGGCUAACUACGUGCCAGCAGCCGCGGUAAUACGUAGGUGGCAAGCGUUAUCCGGAAUUAUUGGGCGUAAAGCGCGCGUAGGCGGUUUUUUAAGUCUGAUGUGAAAGCCCACGGCUCAACCGUGGAGGGUCAUUGGAAACUGGAAAACUUGAGUGCAGAAGAGGAAAGUGGAAUUCCAUGUGUAGCGGUGAAAUGCGCAGAGAUAUGGAGGAACACCAGUGGCGAAGGCGACUUUCUGGUCUGUAACUGACGCUGAUGUGCGAAAGCGUGGGGAUCAAACAGGAUUAGAUACCCUGGUAGUCCACGCCGUAAACGAUGAGUGCUAAGUGUUAGGGGGUUUCCGCCCCUUAGUGCUGCAGCUAACGCAUUAAGCACUCCGCCUGGGGAGUACGACCGCAAGGUUGAAACUCAAAGGAAUUGACGGGGACCCGCACAAGCGGUGGAGCAUGUGGUUUAAUUCGAAGCAACGCGAAGAACCUUACCAAAUCUUGACAUCCUUUGACGACUCUAGAGAUAGAGCCUUCCCCUUCGGGGGACAAAGUGACAGGUGGUGCAUGGUUGUCGUCAGCUCGUGUCGUGAGAUGUUGGGUUAAGUCCCGCAACGAGCGCAACCCUUAAGCUUAGUUGCCAUCAUUAAGUUGGGCACUCUAAGUUGACUGCCGGUGACAAACCGGAGGAAGGUGGGGAUGACGUCAAAUCAUCAUGCCCCUUAUGAUUUGGGCUACACACGUGCUACAAUGGACAAUACAAAGGGCAGCGAAACCGCGAGGUCAAGCAAAUCCCAUAAAGUUGUUCUCAGUUCGGAUUGUAGUCUGCAACUCGACUACAUGAAGCUGGAAUCGCUAGUAAUCGUAGAUCAGCAUGCUACGGAGAAGACGUUCCCGGGUCU